rnacentral:rRNA from 1 species
AGAGUUUGAUUCUGGCUCAGAUUGAACGCUGGCGGCGUGCUUAACACAUGCAAGUCGAACGUGAAAGUCCUUCGGGGCGAGUAAAGUGGCGCACGGGUGAGUAACGCGUGGAUAAUCUACCCUUAAGAUGGGGAUAACGGCUGGAAACGGUCGCUAAUACCGAAUACGCUCCCGAUUUUAUCAUUGGGGGGAAAGAUGGCCUCUGCUUGCAAGCUAUCGCUUAAGGAUGAGUCCGCGUCCCAUUAGCUAGUUGGCGGGGUAACGGCCCACCAAGGCAACGAUGGGUAGCCGGUCUGAGAGGAUGACCGGCCACACUGGAACUGGAACACGGUCCAGACUCCUACGGGAGGCAGCAGUGGGGAAUAUUGCGCAAUGGGCGAAAGCCUGACGCAGCGACGCCGCGUGAGGGAUGAAGGUUCUCGGAUCGUAAACCUCUGUCAGGGGGGAAGAAACCCCCUCGUGUGAAUAAUGCGAGGGCUUGACGGUACCCCCAAAGGAAGCACCGGCUAACUCCGUGCCAGCAGCCGCGGUAAUACGGAGGGUGCAAGCGUUAAUCGGAAUCACUGGGCGUAAAGCGCACGUAGGCGGCUUGGUAAGUCAGGGGUGAAAUCCCACAGCCCAACUGUGGAACUGCCUUUGAUACUGCCAGGCUUGAGUACCGGAGAGGGUGGCGGAAUUCCAGGUGUAGGAGUGAAAUCCGUAGAUAUCUGGAGGAACACCGGUGGCGAAGGCGGCCACCUGGACGGUAACUGACGCUGAGGUGCGAAAGCGUGGGUAGCAAACAGGAUUAGAUACCCUGGUAGUCCACGCUGUAAACGAUGGGUGCUGGGUGCUGGGAUGUAUGUCUCGGUGCCGUAGCUAACGCGAUAAGCACCCCGCCUGGGGAGUACGGUCGCAAGGCUGAAACUCAAAGAAAUUGACGG